GGUAGAUUAAAACCUUGGCAUGAGAUGAUGAAUAAGAAGACAAAAGUUAUUUCACAACCUACCCGCCUUAGUAAGACUAUUGGUCAAUCAAGCAACACUACAAAUGUUCAAAAUUCAUCCUCAAGCCAACAACAGAUUAUUGGUCAAUCAAGCAAUAUCACAAAUGUUCAAAAUUCAUCUUUAAGUCAACCA